rnacentral:lncRNA from 1 species
UUUCCUUCACAAGUGGGCAUCAACUUCUGUUUCACACAUAAUUUUGUAGGGAGAAGUGUUAUUCAUAUUUUUAAGUAUUAUUAGUGUUUUGUCAAUGUUUCCCCACCAAUAAUCAUGGCCAGAAAAUCCAUAUAUAGUCGUCUCCCAUUGCUUUACGUUGAUCUGAUGUUAAUGUUUGGGUUCCGACUUUACUUGAUCAACAUUAUAGGUAUAAUUUGUUUUGAUCUGAUCUGCAUAGUUCAGUGUCAUUGAAAAGAAUGACUAAAACUAAUUCUUGUUUUGUUUUUUUUUUUUUGGCAUCGCAAGUUCCAUAUAUUAUUAAAAAACUUCUAGGUGAUUGGCC